CAAUCAGAAGGUAGAGAGAAAUAGGAAUGGAGUCGGAAAAGUCUUUGGAACAUUCAGCUCUUUCUUACAAGUCCAAAACCAGACUGUGCAGGAUGGGCUGGGUGAUUUGUGAUCAGAGGAAGGUGCUGGCUCUGUCUUAUGUACCCACAUGAAGGUGUGUACAUGAGAACUGUCAUAGGAAGAUGGCCUCCAAGCUUCAGGCUGUUGACUUCACUAAGAGACAGAUUGUCAAUAUUAUCAUGGUUCAAUUCCUCCAGCAACAUGUCAUUGAAACAAAGGUCUCACACUU